GACGAACGCUGGCGGCGUGCUUAACACAUGCAAGUCGAACGGAAAGGCCCUGCUUUUGUGGGGUGCUCGAGUGGCGAACGGGUGAGUAACACGUGAGUAACCUGCCCUUGACUUUGGGAUAACUUCAGGAAACUGGGGCUAAUACCGGAUAGGAGCUCCUGCUGCAUGGUGGGGGUUGGAAAGUUUCGGCGGUUGGGGAUGGACUCGGGGCUUAUCAGCUUGUUGGUGGGGUAGUGGCUUACCAAGGCUUUGACGGGUAGCCGGCCUGGGAGGGUGACCGGCCACAUGGGGACUGAGAUACGGCCCAGACUCCUACGGGAGGCAGCAGUGGGGAAUAUUGCACAAUGGGCGGAAGCCUGAUGCAGCAACGCCGCGUGCGGGAUGACGGCCUUCGGGUUGUAAACCGCUUUCGCCUGUGACGAAGCGUGAGUGACGGUAAUGGGUAAAGAAGCACCGGCUAACUACGUG
rnacentral:rRNA from 1 species